CGGAAUAAUGCGUAGUACCUAAUCGUAUAAUAUAUACAGUUCACGCAGAAACAUCGAUCAAUCGGGUAAGUUAGAAUGCAUAUGCACAUAAUAUUAAAAUAUGCACACACAGGGCCGGCCUAUAUAUCCGCCGAACAUUAUUAACUUAAGCCACGUCCACACAAUAUAACGAAUUUUCGAGAAUAAAAUUGUACGCAUUUGUAUGCUAAUGGACUUUCGCCCGUCGCUCUAUCGCGGCCUUGACGAAUAUGUUUACAAACAGUAGACAGUGGCUACUUCGUCACUUGUUGGAUAGUCCUAGGAAGAAAGGACAGAACGAUGCAUGCUUCCGAUGCAUCAAUAAAUUACAUCAAGAGCUAGAAGUAAAGACGAAACCAAUGGAAAGCGUUUAUGAAAUAUUCAGCAUUGUUCAGAAAAUCUCAACUACUACAUAACAAUGAUGAAAAACUGUCUAUCGCUGUUUUAAACUUCUGUACAAUUUACGAAGAAUUUGAUAAGGAAGAAAAAAUAACUCAAAAUAAAAAGGCUGUGGCAUUUUAUUAAAGAAGCUGGGGUUCCAAAAGAAGAAUCAAAGAAGCAGAAAUCAUUAAAAGUCUUAACAAACAGAUAAACAGAUAAGUUAUUGAUACUUGGUUUAACGUAUAUACUAAUGUACACGACUCAAUAUUAAUGUUAUUGAGUGUUUGGGUUAUAUUUAUAUUUUAUCGUUGUUUUUUAAUAUUUAUAGUUUGUUAUGAUUGUUUAUUAAAGUAUUGCUUUGCCGAGA